AUUGAACGCUGGCGGCAUGCCUUACACAUGCAAGUCGAACGGCAGCACGGGAGCAAUCCUGGUGGCGAGUGGCGAACGGGUGAGUAAAGUAUCGGAACGUGCCCAGUCGUGGGGGAUAACGUAGCGAAAGUUACGCUAAUACCGCAUACGAUCUAUGGAUGAAAGCGGGGGAUCGCAAGACCUCGCGCGAUUGGAGCGGCCGAUAUCAGAUUAGGUAGUUGGUGGGGUAAAGGCUCACCAAGCCGACGAUCUGUAGCUGGUCUGAGAGGACGACGAGACAGAGUGGGACUUGGACACGGGCGAGACUCAUACGGAAGGCAGCAGUGGGGAAUUGUGGACAAUGGGCGAAAGCCUGAUCCAGCCAUGUCGCGUGCAGGAUGAAGGCCUUCGGGUUGUAAACUGCUUUUGUACGGAACGAAAAGGUUUGGGCUAAUAAGCUGAGCUCAUGACGGUACCGUAAGAAUAAGCACCGGCUAACUACGUGCCAGCCGCCGCGGUAA
rnacentral:rRNA from 1 species